rnacentral:lncRNA from 1 species
ACAGAGAGAGAAAGAGGCAGAGACACAGGCAGAGGGAGAAGCAGGCUCCACGCAGGGAGCCUAAUGUGGGACUCAAUUCCGGGACUCCAGGAUCACGCUUGAAGGCAGGCCCUAAACCACUGAGCCACCCAGGCAUCCCUGCAACUCCUCUUAGGAUUGUGGCAUCCAUCUUGCUUUUUUUUCUCUCCCUGAGAUCUAAAUUCUGUCCGCUUAACCCAAGAGCUGUACUCCAGGGCUUGAAGGGAUUCCUCACAUAUUGCCUGCCUACUUACUUGGACAUUGGCGUGUAAACCACCUAAAUCCCCUGUCCCCUUACUCCAGGUUUAUACAUAAUUACAGGAUUGUCACACAGCUUCAUCUUGGUCACUGCUGCAAAUCAGAGACUAAAAUUCAAUUUAGAUUAUGAUACAACAAAAAUACCGAUUCUCCUUCCUUCAUUCAAGACUUUUCUGUCACCUCAUCUAAUCCCAUGCAGUCUGAAUUUGUCUCUCCCAAAUUGUAAUUCUGAUGCCAAGCUGUUCUCUCUCAUGCUCUCUGCCCUCCUUCCUGGAUUUUAAGCCUUAAAUAUAACACAGUGAUUCACAUGAAUCUAAAGCUAGAAAGUAGAGAAUGUUAAAAGAAAACACACAUAAGUCUGUGAAAAUACUCUGUAAAAUAAAAACACAAAGCAUAUACACCGAUCUAUCUUUUAAAUUUCAAGUGUAUAAUACCUUUUUACUCUACUAUUAGUCCUUAUCCACACCUAUGUGGCACAGUCUUUUUUUUAUUCCAACUUUCCAGUAAAAGAGAAAAUUAUCCUAUGCUUUCAUGAAUUUUGGGAUGGCUUUUUAAAGUCGAUAUUUCUUGAUUCUACCAAGACUAAUUCAUUAAAGAAAGCAACCUUCUUUCUUUUUUCUCUUUUCAUCCUUCAUUGCUAGAAAAAGUAAAAUGGAAAAGUGUGUAUCACUUGCUUGAAGUUAAAAAAAUAUAAGUUCAGAAUAUGAAUCCUUCAUUAGUGAGAAGGAGUUCUAUUUAAAAAAUUGGUAAUCAAAAUUAUUGAGAUCUAAACUUUUUGUUUGUUUAAGCACUAUAUUAUAAAUUAUUUCACUUGUGAAUAAUAGACUUAAAUAUAAAGAAAAUAUGUUGCUAACCCAUCAGUUGAGACAAUUUUGAGAAUUAAACUUGAUUCUGUUCUAUUAUAAGCAAGAGUAUCUUCGCGGCUUGUUUCCAGUUUUCUCUGCUUACCAUAGAUGAGAAUUCUUUUGGGAUGAAAUAUCAAAUAUAAGAUUUUGAAACAAAUUUGUUAAACAAAAUCACAAAACAAAAGUAGAAUGAAAGAUUAAUGAUGGUUCAUAAAAUUUAAAUUAUUUCAGGUAUUAACUAAAAGGAACUCACUGGAAUUUUAAUUCUUCUAACUAUGUAAAUCUCAUUUAUUCCACAAACAUUAUCAGAAUGAGAAGUGUGACUUUCAGCAUUUGUAAAAGCAGUUCAAACUAUCAUCACCUUAUGCUGAAAUUAAAAUUACAAACCCAGCAUAGUAAAAUUAAAAUGCUUUGGCUCAUUGUUAAAAUAAACAGUACACAAACUUUGUCCAUACUUCAAAAUCAUGAAUUUGUCAUUCUCUCUCACUGUUGUUCACUUGUCUUCCAGAUUGGAAACACCUGGACUUGGGCAUAUCUUCUGCAAAAGUCUAGCAGACAUAUUUAUGACUGCCCUCUGCAAAUCUUGAAAGUCUUCACCUUGCUUUUCCAUUAACCCUGGUCAAUACCCUUAGUAUUGACUAUUCCUACAGUUAUUCCUACGGCUUUAUACCCAGUAGUAGAAGACAAAAUACAAUAAUUACUUAUAAAUUAUAAUAUAUAAUUUCAAGUUGUAAUAGAAGUCAAGGUUGCUCUUGUUCCUAAAGGGAGAGAUUGGGACUUUUUAACUUGAUGCUAUUCUAACUAUUCAAAAUAUCAAAUUAAAUGACUAAGAUCAAGAUCUGGUCAAGAUAUUAAUGGAUUCACAUAUACUUUCCAGUCUUUAACCCUCUCUCAAGCCUUGAAAUAAAAUUAAACAGCAAAGCAAGUCAUGUGAAACAAACAAACAAACGAAUGAAUAAAACCAUGGACAAUAUCUAGAAUAAUAUUGACAAAGUAUCUUCACAAACCCAAAAUAUUUCCAUAGGAGCCUAACUGCACUCAGUAGCAAUACCUGGGUGGUGUCAGCAGCUCUGCAGGACUGGGUGGAUUAACGAAAUAAAAACUAUUCUAAUAGUGCUGAGAGUACGAGAAAUUGAAUUAUCAGCUGUUCCUCACCUUACAGUUUAGCAUCCUCACAGUAUGAAAAGAUUAACAGCUGCUAAAGAUGGACUUUGCAGGCUUUAGCUUUGACCAAGGCCUGAUGACUUACAAUAUUCUCUUCAUUUUAAGUACACAUAGAGGGAUACCUGGGUGGCUCAGCAGUUGAGUACCUGCCUUCUGCCCAGGGCGUGAUCCUGGAGUCCCCGGAUAGAGUCCCACAUCAGGCUCCCUGCAUGGAGUCUGCUUCUCCCUCUGCCUAUGUCUCUGCUUCUCUCUCUGUCUCUCAUGAAUAAAUAAAUAAAAUCCUAAAAGAAAAAUAAGUACACAUAGAACCUUGGCAAAAUUGUCUGUGUCUUGUCACAAAAAAGAUCUCAAUAAUUGUGAAAAAAUACAAAUAAUGCUAACAACACAAUUUUAAUGUUAUUGCAAUAAGUUAGGUAAAAAUACCACAAACACAAAACUAAAUGGUUUUAUUCCAUAACUUCAGAUUAAAUAGAAAUGCAAAAUGAAAUGAAAGAAUAAUUUUAAAAUAAUGGUAUAUUACAUAGUAUUUCAGACUGUGUAGGAAACAGCUAAAGGAGACUUGAGGAGGAAAUUAUGUACUGGUGCCUUUAAAAAUGAAAAUAAUUAAUUAAAUACUACUAAAGAAAAAAUAAGUAAAAUAAGAUUUUUAAAAAAGCAGAGGAAUGGAAUUAAUAAAUUUAAGCCAGAAAGAAAAAAGUUUAAAAAACAAAA